CUUCAUCGACGCCGAUUGAACUGCUGAAACGAACCCCUGGGAAAAGAGAGAGAAGAAAUGAAGAGUACCUGCCUUUUUUUUUUUUUUUGCCACAAACGGCACAGAGGAAAUGUAGGCAAGGCUUUGACUCCUCUGGAACAGCAGCAUCCAGUCACAAUAGGUGAUCAGAGAUCAUUCAGCUGGGCUCGUUCCUCCAGACAACCACGGAAUGGAAAACAACCUCCCAACCACCAGCCGUCCUACAGACACGGGACGGCUUUGGGGAGCACCUCUGGGAGGCGACAGGAGGUUGGGCCCCCUCGGGAACAACCGUGACCGCUAUGGGGCACGUUUGGGGUGCGUUACACCCUCGGUGAGCACAUGGCAUUUAGGACAGGGACUCAAAGGCACACGGGGACGGCCACGAGCCACACGCUGACAUCCAGAGGGGGCUGCAGGUGGGGUGAACCAAAAGGGAGGCCCUUUGGGACAGAGACCGCGGCUCCCUCACCCCCUUUGCAGGGCAGGUGGUGCUGGCUGUGCUGUGCCCGCCAGCCCUGCACCACUUCCCAGGUGCCACCGUCCCGGCGCAGGGGGAAGGCCACCUCCAGCACAUAGCUGCAGCUCCGGAUGGUCUCCAGGAGCCCGCGCAGCCAGGACAGCCCUCCCGGCCUCCCCGCCGCCGACUGCAGCGCCAGGCUGGCCGCCCGCCCGUAGAAAGUCUCCACCAUGGCCAGCAGCCCGGGGGAGUCGGGGCUGCCCCCUGCCAGGCUCCCCCCGGCCCGGCACUGCCCCAGCACCGCUCCGGCACCACCACGGCCCCGCAGCCUCCCUGCUGCCCUCCACAUGGCUGCCCCACCGCCCUCAAAAUGGCCGCCCUGCCGCCGCCAUUUUGAUGGCCAGCCGCGUGGCGUGAGCGUCGUGGAGCCGAGGCAGCGGGCAGGCAGCACUGUUUUGAGGGCUUUUGAGGUGUUUUUUGCACCUCCCAGGAGCGUUCGUGCUACCCCAAGGCAUCUGUGGCUCUGCUACCCCACAGCGGGUGCUGCCCACCGGGACGCAGCCUGGCUUGGGGAGGGGGCUUCGUGCAGCCCUACACCCGUAGCCCACAUUUACCCCGGUACUGGGGGCACCCCCUGUCAGCUCCCCGGGGCUGUGGGUGCCGGGUGCGGGUUUGGCUGGCGUGGGUGCGCCUGGCGCGUUCACGUGGCGCUGCCCGUGCACGCGUGGGAGGCAGGCCGUGGUGCGGAGGGAGGGGGCUGCCACGCUACCUGCGCCCGCGGCCCCCUCCCCGCGGGGAGGAUGCGCUUUUCAGGCAGCUGCCUGGCUCCUCGCGAGCCGGGGGAGCGCGGGAGUGCGUUGCCAAGGCAAUGGGGACCAUCUUACUCAUCCUCCUCGCUAUUGUUAUCCUGCCAGCCCGGAGCAUUCGGGGUUUUGUUCCAGCCUCGCUGUUUACUGGAAGGAGCAUUUCCACCGCCAACCUCCCCUGUCUCCAGGCAACCAGGUGUGCCAGCUCCCAUCGCGCCGGCGCUGCAACACCCUAUAGAUCUAUAG
rnacentral:lncRNA from 1 species